GCGCGUAGGCGGUGAUAUGGGUGUGAUGUGAAAGCCCUGGGCUUAACCUGGGAAGUGCAUCCCAAACUAUCUGACUGGAGUAUGGGAGAGGGUGGCGGAAUUUCCGGUGUAGCGGUGAAAUGCGUAGAGAUCGGAAGGAACGUCUGUGGCGAAGGCAGCCACCUGGCUUAAUACUGACGCUGAUGCGCGAAAGCGUGGGGAGCGAACAGGAUUAGAUACCCUGGUAGUCCACGCUGUAAACGAUGAGGACUAGAUGUUGGGAGGGGAACCUUUCAUUGUCCAACCUCACGCGAUAAGUCUUCCCCCUGGGAAGUACGGCCGCAAGGUGGAAACUCAAAGGAAUUGACGGGGGCCCCCACAAGCGGUGGAGCAUGUGGUUUAAUUCUAAACAACGCGCAAAACCUUACCAGCCCUUGACAUGUCCCGUAUGACUACCAAAAAUGGAACUCUUCACUUCGGCUGGCGGGAACACAGGUGCUGCAUGGCUGUCGUCACCUCGGGUCGUGAGAUGUUGGGUUAAUUCCCGCAACAAGCGCAACCUCCAUCUGCAGUU
rnacentral:rRNA from 1 species